AACGAACGCUGGCGGCAUGCCUAACACAUGCAAGUCGAACGAGACCUUCGGGUCUAGUGGCGCACGGGUGCGUAACGCGUGGGAACCUGCCUUUAGGUUCGGAAUAACUCAGAGAAAUUUGAGCUAAUACCGGAUAAAUGUCUUCGGACCAAAGAUUUAUCGCCUUUAGAUGGGCCCCGCGUAAGAUUAGCUAGUUGGUGGGGUAAAGGCCUACCAAGGCGACGAUCUUUAGCUGGUCUGAGAGGAUGAUCAGCCACACUGGGACUGAGACACGGCCCAGACUCCUACGGGAGGCAGCAGUGGGGGAAUAUUGGACAAUGGGCGAAAGCCUGAUCCAGCAAUGCCGCGUGAGUGAUGAAGG
rnacentral:rRNA from 1 species